GUAGUAAUUUCACAAAGAUCCUAAAUUGAAAUCCGCUGGAAUAAUAGGACACACAGGAGUAGCCGCUGUUCUCUAUUACGUACAGCAUGGCUGUAUCUGUGACCUGUGGUUGUGCAUAUUGUAGGUUUAUUUUUCACACUGCCAGUUAAGAUUUCCCAGAGUUUGACACAAAAUCUACAAUCACUGAGCCUCUACUGAUAUAUUUGUAUUGUCCGGAAGGCUGUCGAGUUCUUAGUCAAGAGAAUGGCUUCCAUGGUUUUCUUUCAUAGUGAAUGGUUUUGGAAAUAAAAUUUUAUGCUCAUACUUACUGAGGUCAGAAUCCUGAAAUUUCGUCCAGUGGUAUAAAUAAUAAUAAUAUGUCACAAGGUAUAUUAACCAUUUGCCUUGUACUAGGCCCUGUUACUACUAUUUAUAUACAUCAUUUCAUGUAGCCCUGUAACAUCCCUUUGAGAUAACUACUCUUAUAUCCUUAUUUUCAGAUGAGGAACUAAGAAGUUAAAAAUAUGCCCAAAGAGCCACAUAGUAGCAUUAACUCCAGCUCAGAGCUGACUCUUGACAGCUGCCAACAAAUUCUCUUUGUUCUUCUGGGUGGAAGACCAUGAAACAGGAAAAUAUUAAUAACAUGUAGUGUACUGCUUUCUAAAAUUUUCUUCCCGUUAUCAUAGUUUGGUUGGUAACAAUUCUUACCCACUUUUAUCUGUCUCUUUUCCUUUUCUAAAAUACUAUCCAUUUUUAUAGAAAGAGACAAAGGAAAAAUGUAUGUUCUUUUCUCCAUCUGGACGUUCUUGAAGGUUUAUGCUGAGAGAACCAUUAUUCUGUAGUGUGCCUUACCACUGACAGCCUGGGUGUAUAUUCUUCAGCCUAUUUUGUUUGUUUCUCCGCUGGAAAAAUGAAGAUGAAAUCACUGUGCCUUGCUAUCAAAGUAGGGAUGAAGGAGUAAUGUCCUUCAUAAUUACAGACAGUAUAAUUAUAAAUAAUAGGCCAUGGAUAUAACUGUAAAUAUGAAAAUGUGAGGUUUCCUCAUGAGAUACUGAGUGAUCUCAGCAGCCUGCAAAAGGUGAUAUGUGUCAAAGGACAUAAAACAGUAGGAGGAGAAAGAGCACUGAGCGAUCACGUAGUCCCAAAGUUAGCAGGGAUGCUUUCGGGGAGGCAUACCUGGAAAGAGGAUGUAAAUUCACCUUGCUGUGAAGGACUGGAGGAGCCAACCUUUUCAAUCCUGUGGCUAGUGGAGGGUCUUGAGUGUGCCUUUGGGGCAUGAAAGCCAGGAGGAAGCACACCCUGUUUAGCAGAUGUGUGGCUUCAGGGCCUUGGCAGGCAGAACAGGUUGAUUAUGCAUUGCCAUGGUUAUUCUGCCACUGAACAGUUAUACUCCAGCACCCUUCUUCAUUGCUCUGCCAAAGCACUUAUGCCUUGGAGCUCUGAGUCCAGGCACAGAAGGGACUGUCCUAAGUGAGUGAAGUGGUCAGGACGUCACUGCAGGCACUGAGAAUUUAUUAAAAUGAGGAUGAGGCAGAAUGGAGAGUUUUAUUCUCUGUAUUUGUGAGAGCUUUCUUCCGAUGCAAGAAGGAAACCCCAUCUAGUUUCAUGAAAACAUGAGCCUUGCCUAACCGACUUGGCUGCAGGCAAACCAACCCUGCCCCUGUGUUUUGAAAUUUGGGCUCUUUCCUCUUUCAUGUUCUUUUUCAUCAAGUGUGAACUCCUGAUUCUAUGUCAGCAGUUGAUCCCCAUUACAAAUAAUCUUCAGCAGAAUCUUGUUUUCCAUAUCCUAUUGACUUUGGCACCUGCUCUGUUUACUUAAGCACUCAAUUGAUAAGAACUGGAAUCUUUGCUGAUUUUUACCUAAAGCUAGAAAAGAAAACCUUUCAAGCCAGCAAAAAUAACCUUCCUCUGAAAAAAUACAUCAAAGGAGUGGUGCCAGCUCAGUUGGUAUUAGGUUGUGCAUUGCAUGGGUUGGAAACGAUGGACUGUAAAGAAAAGGGGUCUUUGCAGCAGGCAGAAGUAAAGCAACAACAAUUAAAGUAAACAGAGCAAACUUUCCAUGACAUGCUGCUACCAGCAUUUGUAAUAACCCCCAGGAUAGGACCCUACUGGAAGACGGGUUAGCUAGUGGGAAACUGACAGGAGGGAUCAGGAGUGGGGAGGCAGGACACAGUUACUAGAGCAGAGAUACGUAAUAAAGGCUUGGAGAUAGAAACAAAAGCAAAACAUUUAGAAUGGUUAAGACUCACUUGAUGUCACUUACCUGUCCCAGUGAUUGGGUUCUUUUCAGUGCCCUCUGUGAAGACAAGAAUGACAUCAGAGCAUACGUCCAGCUCUACUUUCUCAGGAGCCACAGAUUUUGGCUCUUCAUGCAGAAAUACUCAGAAUAUGCAGAUAAUGACACAUAUCAGAAACCUUAUCACUGAACAUUUUAAAUUCCAUGGUGGGGGAAGGAGGCAUGUCCUACACAAUAGGCAUCCUGUUUUGGGGGAGGUUUAUCACAAAAACUUUUUAUUGAUCACUGAGGGGAAAAAAUGGGGUUUUCAUCUGAAACCUUGGGUGUCUCAGUCUUUUUCUUUCCGAUUUUGUGUAAGCUAGACAAUUAUGUUGGAUUUACUUUCUCCAUCUUCAGUGGAAGAAAUGACCUUGUUGAGUAAAACAAGUAUGUUAAGUGUCAAUUCAUAAACACAGGUUUGUAUGGAAAGAGAGGAUAUGAAAUUAGACACACCUGUGAAGAUCUGGGGAUGGGUGACAUCUUUUUUUUCCAGUAAACAUUUAUUGAUCCUUUAUGAGGUACCAAGCACUUUAGUAAGAGCUGGGAAGAGGAGAAAAGAGCAAUGGUGGUCCUUGUUCCCCAGGAGCUCUAAGACCCUGUGUGAGACAGAUGUGGGGGUGGGGAUGUGCCAUGGUGGUGAGCAGGCAGGAGUGAUGGUGCCUGGGAAGAGGCAGGCGAGGGUCACGAGAGCCUGCAGAGAAAAGGAGGCAUUUGAGUCGGUCAUGAAGGACACCAGCAGUUUUUACAGGUGGACAAAAGACAUGUAAGGCAAAGAGAACCUCAAAGAGAGAAAGUGUGGACAUCUGGAUGGGUUUGCCAGGUCUGGGGAACUGAAAGGAGGUCUGAGUGACUGCUAAGAUUAAAGGCACAGAGUGGGAGGUGAGGAGGCUAGGAAGUUCUAGAGGGUUCAAAUCAGAAAUGCUUUGUCCUGUAAAUCGUGUGGAGCUGUGGAAAGGCUUUAAGCAGGUGAGUGAUGUGAUUAGGUUUACGUUCCCGAGAAAUCAUUCCAUCACACUGUGGAGAACGGACUGGAAAAAGAUCUUCGUGGAUGCAGAAGAUGAGCAUAGACACUGUUGCUGUGGCCCGAGCAGGAGAGAAUGAGGCCCAGACCCAGGGCAGUAGAGGUGGAGGUGUAGAGGAGGGACACAGUGAGAGAGAGAGAUGGAGGAGACUGAAGAACACUGAGUGAGUAAACUGGAAGUGGUGGAUGCAGGAGACCAGGAGGAGCCAGGGUUGUCCAGGAUUUCUGGCAGAGCUGACUUGGUGAGUGAGGGCAUUAUUGACUCUGACAGAUAAAUGAGAAGAAAACCAGCUUCUGAGGGGUAGUGGAAGCAGAUAGGGGCAUGCGGGGCAUGUUGAGAUGUGUUGGGACAUGCUGCGAUUGAAGGGGCCUGCGGCCAUCAGGUGAAGUGUGUAGCCGACAUUUGGAAGUACUGGCCUAGAGCUUAGGUGAAAGCCUGGCUGAAUAGGUAAGGUGCCACUGGUGUCAUAGAAUGAGGAGAAAGUAGUAUCAGAAAAUCACAGAAGAACGUAGUUUUAGACAGAGUGGUCAGUACAGCAUUAUCAAAUACUGUCAAGGGCUGGGCAAGGUGACUCAUGCCUGUAAUCCCAGCACUUUGGGAGGCCAGGAGUUUGAGACCAACCUGGGCAACAUGAUGAGACUCCAUCUCUACAGAAAAUUUAAAAAUUAGCCAGGCAUGGUGGCGCACCUGUAGUCCCCAGCCACUCAGGAGGCUGAGGUGAGAGGAUCGCUUGAGCCUAGGAGGUUGAGGUUGCAGUGAGCCAUGAUUGUGCCACUGCUCUCCAGCCUGGGCAUCAGAGAAGGCAAGUAAGAGAAGAGCUGAAAGGGGCCCCUUGGAUUCGAUCAUCUCCUGCCAGCUCUUGCUUUGUGGAACUGUGGUGGAGGUGGAAAACAGAUUACAACAGGAUGGGGGAAGCAGGGUAGGAAGCAGGUUGAAAAGCCAGUACGGAUGACCAGAUGACCAUUUUCCUUCAGUUUAGCUGGGAGAGGAUUCAGAAAGCACUGGCCGGUAAGGUACCCAUGGGGUCAGGUUUAAAUCAUCAUUCUAGUUGUAGACCCCACAUGGCUCCACAUUGAACUCCUGACCCCACUCCAGUAUCAAGGCUUUGUCUCGAUAUUGUCUGUGGCUGAGAAGUAGUGCACUAUCAGGUCUAUAAAAUCUCUGGUAAAAUAAAAAAAAACUCUUAUUAUUUCUAUUUUUUAGAUAGUUUUAGGAUGCUUGAGAGUCAUGUUUUAAUUCCCCCAUCCCUGCAGUGAGAUGUUAUGUUGCUUUCUGGAAAACCUUUGGGAGUCAUCAGUUAUCCUCUUCCACGGUUAAAUAAUCGACGUCCUUUGCUGUCGGCUGGAGCAGGGGGUGCUGUCCUGUGACUCAUGUGUUCUCAUUCACAGCAUGUUGAGCAAUGCACUUGGUGCUAGUGCCUAAUAAAGCAUGCUGAGGAUGUUGUCACUGAGCUCGAAUUUUCCUCAGUGGGGCUAGAUUUCUGUCACCACACAUUUUUCUUCUUGCUACACUCUGAGACACUUCUCAAUGAAACAUUUGUCCUUUUUUCCUUUAUUAUGUCUAGAACGGUGUCUUCUCUAACUUAGUAUUGCAUUUUGCUGUCGGGUAUUUAUCUCUGAUUCUGAAUUGUAUUUUUAGUGUUGCUUGUGUUCUUUCCUUUUCCUUUUUCCCCAACAAAGAACUUCUUGGAAGGUCUUCCAUCCCUGUCUCCCUCCAGACUGCCUUAGGGAAGCCAGAAGCCAUGCACAGUGAGACUUAUGAUGCGGACGUUGGCUCUGAUGAGAGGCCAAUACCACAGCCCUCAGAAGGGCAAAGGCUCAGCUCCCUGGAUAGACCACUCCUUAUUCCCACCACACUAAUUAAUUGUCAUCUCAGAAGGCAAUGAGACCAAUUGUUCUGGCAUUGCCCUGGCCAAGCCAACUCUGGAAGAGGCAGUGAGCUGCCAGCUUUUCUGCUGUUGGCCAGGAAUCUGUAUCCCAGCAGUCUGUCAGGGAAAACAGGCCAAUUUGGGGUUUGAAUUGCUGCCUCAGAGAUGCCAGCAAUGGGGUUGCUUGUUAAGAGAGUUGCACCCUAAGACUCUAGUGAAAUAGCUUGAAGAUCUGUGAGAGUGGUUUGAAUUCCGACAUGUGAAAGUAUGUGCUUUGCUUGUGAAGUGGAAAUUGCCCUAUUCAAGUGGGCUUAUGAGUCCCCUUUGUCACUUAGCUUGUCACUGAACUUAAAAUCUUUGUUCUUUACUUUCAACUUUACUGAGGGGGAAGAAUUUGGUGUUAAUAGAUGUGAAAGCUCUGUAGAAGAUGUUACUGGACACAUCAGAGAAAGAACUGUGAUUUUUAGACUCUUGGCAGUGGCUUCACAGUGGCCCCAAGGAGACAGGGGUAGGUGGGACUGUUCUCAUUGAUCGUGAUAGAGACAGUGAAGCAGAAAACCACUUAUGUGAUUUGUCUGAGGUCCUACCUAGCUGGCUGAAAUCCAGAGCAUCCAACACGACUACAUCACCUAACAUCUAAAAUGACAUUGCCUUGAAGGGAGAGAAACUGAAAUGGACAGAUACUUAAGUGCAGGUCUGCUGCUACCAUAGAGUGCCUUUGUGCAAAUGGAAAAGGCAUCUCUAGGCCCCAUGGGCAGGCAGAUUACACAAAGGUGCUUCUUAGUGACUAACCAAGGCACACAGCUUGGUGAGCAGAAUGCUGACUGGUUCCAGGCCCCAGGUUGAUCUCCACCACAUGUCCCUUUGCACAAGGCCCAAAAUGCACAACCACAUAGGGAGGCCCUGCAUAGACGUUUGCCUUGACAGUGGACUAGUUCAUAGAUAUUUGUAGCCAGUUGACCAAAUCCUUAUUUUACCUCCCCACUUUUCAUUCCCAAGGUAAAAAAUAAAGUUCAUCUAUUAAAAAACUAAUUGUAUGUGCCCCACCUUAACAGUAUUCUUAAGGAGCUCUAUUUUUUUAACCACUUUUCUCUCCCUGUAAAUUAUACUACCCACCCUUCCUUUUUGAUAUCUGCUGUAGCAAAUUGUAAGGCAGCACUCUGCCCACAGGACGUGGUCUUUAAAGGAGUCAUUUCCUCUUCCAUCUCCUCCAGGCCAUUCCCAUCGUGUUUUUCGUGGCACUGGCAACAGGAAGGCACACUGAAUAGCAGUGCUGAAAAGGCACUUUGUUGUUUAUGUUAUUACUGUGGGUUUGUCUCUGCCUAAUAAUUAGCGUUUCCGGCUUUCUGAAUUUAUUUGCCAAAAUAUUUGCAGGACUUUCGUGAACAAAUAAGGGAUGUGUUUCUUGACAUAACUGACCACUGCCUUGCAAGGCUGAGCGAGAGAUGUUUCUAGACAUAAUAGACCACUGCCUUGCAAGGCUGAGCAAACUUCUGGCUGUCGGAGUUUUUUUAGAUGGAUUUGCUCAGGGAAAGAUUAUCCUAGUAAGGCAAACACCUUCUAAAUCACUAAUCUGGCAUUGAUGCUAUCUCAGCGACCACAGUUCAGGAAGUUCGAAGUAUUCCAGUGUUCCUUUCAGGACAGGGUAGGUCAUUACUGAGGGGUGGCGAGUUCUUGGGUCCCAGGGGCAAAAGUCUAGUCCUGUCUGAGUUCCCUCCCAGUGAAGUUCGUGAGCCUCAGCUUCCUCAUCUGUAAUGUGAGAUAAUCAUAUUUGUCUUGUCUGGCUCAUAGAAUUGUAGUUGAGGGUUAAAUGAAAGAAAAUAUAUGUAGAAGUGCUUUGCUAACUCUAAAACAUUACAAAAAUGUUAUUUAUAUUAGACUCUAAGGAUACUGUUCUCUGAGGGAGGAUUAACCAAGGAGAGAGCCUUGUUCACUAUAUUUAGGUUAAAAGGGACGUGCUUCACUCUCUGCUGCAUUUUCUCCUCACAUAAAGGAGAAAAUAAGAUGAUAAACAGUUCGGCCAUCUCCCUGGCCCCUUCCCGACCUACCUUACCCAUCUAACUGGUUCCUUCUCUGUGUUGUUCUUUUGAAGAGGUCUUCUUGGCCUACCAGGAUUGCCCACGUUUCUUUGGACCCAUUGCACACCCAUAAGGACCACCCCCUUCAUUCUUUUUUCCUAUCAUAAUCAGCCUCUCCUAACCAGCUUGUUUUUCUAGCUGGGCAACAAUAACUCAAAUCCCUGCAAGUGUGCAGGUGAAUGGAGCAGGCAGGGUGAGGAAUUGAUGGCAUUGAAGCAGGCGGAAAGCGCUUGCCCCUCCCAAGGGGCAGCCACAGCUUGGCUGCAGCCAGCUGUUACCUUGUGGAAUUGAGGGCCCUGACUUGCCACACAUCUCCUGAUUUUUCAAGAGAAGGCAGAAAUCAGGAUUUUUAAGGGAAAUUUCCUCAUUUUUAAUGUUGGAAGCUAUUUCAAUGUUUUUUAAAUUAUAUUACGCAAAUCAACAGACCGUGGCCAAACAGCACGUUUGUGAACUGUGUUUUGCCCACAGACGGCUGGUUUGUGACCAUCUUCAGGUCUUUGAGCACAAGUGUGCCUCGUUUCCUCAAGGAUAAUACACAUGAAUGCAGUGCUCAGCUAGAGCAUCGCCUCCUGGCCUACCUCUGACUCUCUCUAGUUUCACUUGGUCACAUUUCUCUUUGAUCUGCUGUGACAUGACUCCCACUUUAAGCAACAACUCUUUCUUUAGUUGACGGUGACAUUUUUUUAGGACCCUCUUAUCUAUACUAGUCUUGGCCUUUCUGCCCUCAGGGUCCCUAUGCUAGACCCUCCAAGAUACCACCCUUUCUUCAAGCCGAGUGAUGAUUGCCCAUGUCAGUCACUUUCCAUCUGUUGCAGAUUGUUUAUACUGUGUAAAGUUUUACAGUAAGUGUCUUUGCUGCUUUCAGUGUUUCUGGAUGAGGUGGUCGUCUUUCUGAUUAUAAAGAGAUGGUUGUGAGAUGCUGAGGAAGGAUAGAUACAAGCCUUAUAGUGAACUUGGAAUUGUGUUCUUUAUGUGCUUAUGGAAUUGUGUUCUUUAAAGUAACUUUGGGGGUUCAUAUGAGAAUAUAACCCUGCUCAGAAGAAAUUACUUUUAAAAUAAUAUCCACAAAGGAACUGGUUAGAUUUUCUCAUGUGUUCUGCAGAUAUUUACCAAUGUAACCUACAUUUUUUCUUGAUGCCAGAUAGAUUGUAAGGAAUUUGCAUUAUUCCAUCUCAAGUGUAUAAUGAAAUAAUACACUGAAGCAAUUCACCACCAAGAGUUUUGUUUAAAAAAGGAAGUUCCAGCUCCAACUUAGGUUCAACAAUUGCUUCUGACACUUGCCAGUGGCUCAUUGUAAGAAACAAACAAUAAACAUUACCAGUGGAGAGAGAAAUGUAAUACCAUUUUAGAUUUUCUGACAAGAAGUAGUGCCAAGGACCCCUGCAAAAAUGGUUUGUUUUUAAAAUCUCCAGUUCUUUGAGUUAUAUUUCCAACGAGUUACAGUAUUGAAAUGCUUUAAAAAAAAACUAAUUUCAUGUUAGAGUAGUACUUUGCAGUUUAGAAACUUUCAUAUAUAGUAUUUAACUUCAUCCCCAUAGUUUUGUAAUAA
rnacentral:lncRNA from 1 species